UAUCUUCAAUUGAGUCCUUGGCAUCAAUUUUAUUUUUUUACCGAUUUCAAAUAUGGCAAAGAAAAAAAAGAACCAAGAAACUGGUUUUCCAAAAAUCAACAUGGUCAGAAACAAGGAAGAACAACAAAGGCAAAACAACCUCGGCACCAACUAGCAAUAACCAGCUACACAUACAUGUAUAAGUACACAAAAUGAACACUGAAUACAAUAAGGGAGAAACUAAUCCUUUUGAAUAAACCAACAAACUUUUGAUUAAAUCAACAAACUUUCAGUAGCAACAGUUAGUUAUUAAAUGAAAGUAAUAUACCGUGAAUCCAUCAGACUUGAAGUGUUUGAGGAGCCAGUUCCACUCACACUACCAGAAGAAAGACUUUAGCCGACGAAAAUAAAAAAACCAGGCUGACGAAUUAUUUUUUCGUCGGCUAAUUAAAAAUUUUCGUCGUCUGAAUAAUUUUUUUCGUCGGCUAUAGUCUGUGAACUUUAGCCGACGAAAUUUUUAAAAUUUUAUCCGACGAAAAAUAUAAUUUCGUCGGCUAAAGUGCCUUAAUUUCGUCGGCUAAAGUGUCUUAUAUUUGCAGAUCUGGACAACAACUCAUCUGGGAAAAAAAACUAAUACGUAGAACCUUCAAACGUAAAAAAGUCGUGAAAUAAGAUAUGACCAGAAUGGUGAAAUACGUUUACGGUUGAAAAAUCACGGUAUUCCGAUAAAGUCUCGGUGCCGAUAGUUGCGGUCAAUGCAAUUGACUCUUAUUAUUCACUAUGCUGCAGAUUUGGUUUUUGGUGUCCGAUUGACUAUUGUGAUACCUUUCCGGAAGCGUAACGGUCCUACGAGUCAAACUCAGUGUUAAUGACAUGACGUAUGGGCCUUUUUGGUCAUCGGAGUCCGUUUAGGGCUUCAAAAUGCAGUUUUUUUAUUUCCGAUUAGAGUUGACCGUUUUGUUCGAGCCCUUAACGUUGUCGAAUCCAGUUGAAUUUUUUACCAUAAACAUCUUUCAUCAUAAUGAUCAUAUCUGACGGUCGAAUUUUGGUUUGUAAAUUUUAGUCAUCGGAAUCACGUGUCUACUAUUUACCGUUAUUAUUCCCUAUGGGGAGCCCUAUCGUCGGAAGGUAAAUGUCUCAAAAUUUUUAUAUGGGCAGUUGCGUCUCUUCUACGUGAGAGUUUUUUGUGUGGAAGGUUUGACCAAACCACGUAAUAUAGAGGGAGAUAUGAGCGUUUUCGUGUGAUAAGUGACGAUGGAUUAGGGUUGACCGUUUCAAUCGAGUCCUUAAUGUUGUCGGAUCCAGUUGAAAUUUUUACCAUAGACAUCUUUCGUCAUAAUGAUCAUAUCUGACGGUUGAAUUUUGGUUUGUGAAUUUAGUCAUCGGAAUCACAACGUGUCUACUAAUGUUGUAUAACUUGUUUAGUAGGUUAUACAACUUUGUGAACCAACUCUAUAUAGGAAGCAAAAUUAUCAAAAAUCUUGUGAAAUAAGAUGUGUUCAGAAUGGUGAAAUACGGCUAUGGUUCAAAAAUCACGUAAAUUAGGUAAAGUCUCGGUGCCGAUAGUAGCGGUCAACCCUAUUUACUGUUAUUAUUCCCUAUGGGGAGCCCUAUCGUCGGAAGGUAAAUGUCUCAAAAUUUGUAUAUAGGCGGUUGCGUCUCAUCUAUGUGAAAGUUUUUCGUGUGGAAUGUUUGACCAAACUACGUAAUAUAGAGGGAGAUAUGAGCGUUUUCGUGAAUUUAUAGACUUUAGCCAACGAGAUAUUAAAAAAGUCGUCGGCUAAGGUCAAAAAUUUUUGAGCAGUAAACCAAAUUUGGAGGAAAAUUUUCAAAGGACUUUAGCCGACGAAAAUAUAUGAAAAGUCGUCGGCUAAAGUCGAAAAAUUUUCAAAAUUUUCAACCAAAAUUUUUUGACGGUCAACCAAAAUUUUCAAAAUUUUCAAAAGAGUUUAGCCGACGAAAAUAAAGAAUUUCGUCAGCGAAAGUUCUUUAUAUAGGAGUUUUACCGAAGGUGGAUGGUAAGAAGUCUGUUUCGCCUGCCAGAUUUUCUUCUCGGCCUACCUCUGCCGUUAAGCCACCGGAUACCGCCACACUUGUCCCAAAAGCUUCGCCGUCGUCUCUACUUCAUUGCUGGAUAGGUGGUGCAUCGAGUGGCGCCGCCGUGAGGGAUAAAUCGAGCUCCAAAACUCGGCCAGUUCGGAUUCGGUGUCGAUCGAAUUUCUCCUUCCUCAGGUCACCAUUUGGUGAGUUCUAUAUAUGGAUAAGUUGAGUUUGAUUAGUACUACAUUCCCCUAGAAUUUGGUAGCUCGAUUCGGUAUGUGUGAGGAGAAUUGAAGAUUUGAAGUUUUUAGGGUUUAAAAUUAGGGAUUUUUAUAUUUUGAUUCAAUUGACCUGUUUAGGCUUAGAAUUGGGCUUCGACUUCUUCUAGAAAGUUGUUCGAAAUAUUGAGAGGAAGAUUCUGUCAAAUUUUAGUGGUGAUUGGAGGUGGCCGAAAGUUUCUGCAGUUUUUUUUUUCAAAAACCAGCAACUUUAGCCGACGAAAUUUGGUAAGUAUUUUUAAAUAGCCGACGAUAUUUAAAGGUUUAUUCGUCGGCUAUAGUAUUUUUAAAUUUUUUAUAAGGUUUAGCUGACGAAACAGACUAUAUUUCGUCGGCUAUAGUCUGGGAAAAAAAUUUUUAUUACAGACUUUAGCCGACGAAUAUCUUAAUUGUUUCGUCGUCUAAAGUCUGGGAAAAAAACCGACGACAUGUUUUUCGUCAGCUAAACUGUGGGACUAUAGUCGACAAAAUUUUUUUUUUUCGUCGGCUAAAGUCACCACAGACGACCUUUUCCUGACGAAAUCUUAGCUGACGAUGGCUUGUCGGCUAAGAUCUUAGCCGACGAAUUAAGCUAACAGGCUAACGAAACUUUUUCGUCAGCUAAAGUGUUUGUCCUGGUAGUGUCAUCCAGCCGAUGUUCAAACUCUUCUUGGAUCUUCCUCGGGUUUGCUUCCUAAUUGUAUUUAUAGUGCACUUCCAAUUUUUGUACACAUUUUUAGCCUUGUCGUCCAACCACUUCCACAUGAGCUUAUCUUCAACAUCAAACUCAUAAAAGAUCUGUUAAAACAUGAACAACAUUAUUUAUCUCAUAAUUCUACAACUAAUUAAGCAUUGAGUGAACACAUGAACAACAGAAAAAGUCCUUACAAAGAGUUUAGUGGGCAGCUUCUUCUGCUCAUCAUCAGUAGUGUCACCCCAAGUUGGAGCCACCAUGGAAAUUUCGUCCCGUAUAAUGUGGCCGACGUCGUGUGUCAACAUGCUGCUUAACUCUUUACUCUUCAGACCGUGGCAGAAAUCGUCCCAAGUUACUUUAAUCUUGAAUCCAGUCCUCUUGACUAUCUCCUCCGCUUUUAAGCCUUUUACCACCCCUGUCUUGGUAUUAGGGGGAGGUGCUGCGAAAAAAAAAACAGUUUCUGUCAAAACCAAAUGCAAAAGAAACAAACGAUCAAUAAGUGAAGAGGCCAGUGCAAUAUGAAAACAUGCUUGGUAGGUCAAGAUGUAGUUCAAGCAACAAAAAAAGAUGGAUACACUGCAAUAUGUGAAGCACCAGUUAUGAAUUUAUGAACUACUUUGAUGCAUAUUCUAAUCUCUUUUUCCACAUUUUAUAAAUCGAUCAAUAUACCAAAGUUAAAUAUCCUAUAGCUUAGACACUCUCUCUUAAGCCUAUGUCUAAGUAAGUCCACAAUGUGCAUAACAUAGCAAAAAGUAAAAUAGAAUAAGAGAAGAACCAAGCAAUACCAUAUAAGAUGACACCACAUGCAGCGGAUAACAAAUGACAGUAGCCUUAUCCAAAAUUUAUUCCAAAAUAUGCAUGUUAAAAUCCAUGAAAUUGCAUUAAGGAUGCAUAAAAUGCAGUUUUGUUACAAAACCACUAGGGAACCUAGUUUUAUUUCCACUGAUUCUCAUUCACCAAUCACACAAGUCGAGGUCUCCUAGGGAUAACAGAAUUGAGCAGCUACCACUUCUAAAUGAAUUUGCCGAUAACCAACACCAUCUCAAUGUAUAAAAAUAUUAAUGCAUACAAGAACCAACGCCAUGAUCUACAAUAUCAUAGCUAUCCCCCCGAUCAAAGCAUAUUAAUUUCUAUAGCUCAAGAUCUAACACUAGCUAAAAGCUCACUGACUCCUACACAAGCAAAUCAAAUUCCUUCCGAAAGAUACACAUAAUCCAUGAACACCAUCCUAAUAAAACGCAAUUUGGUGUUAUCAUCAAAAACAUGACUUUAUGAUAAUAAUAACAACAAUACUCAGAAACCAAUAUCCAAACCAAUAUCCAAAAUUUACUCAUUCACUACACAAAACCUAGAAACCAAUAUCCAAAAUUUACUACACCCAACUAGAAAAUCAAAAGGUUAAGAGGCAGAUGAGUACGGGUGAGGAAAAUUACCUCCUUUAGGAUGCGGUUUGCUCCGAACGCUGAUGAUACACCCCGAACCUAGUAAUUAUUUUUAUAUUAUGAUUUCCGGUUUAGUGGUAGCUAAUCAAUUCGGAAAUUUAGUAUGUUAUCCUUCAUAGAGGUGGUCUAGUCGAGUUCAUUGAUUUUUUUAGUUACCCGAAUAAGAGUUCGUAAAUGAAGGGUAGUUAAAUAAUAAUAGUACCCAUUUUUGGGCUUAGGCAUUUAAGGGAGACUUACCUUUUGGUUAAGGUAAAAAAAUUAGAAAAUACACAUCCCUCAUCCUUUCUCUCUCCCCGAGCCCGACCCUAACCCCGAACCGUCCGGCUUCUCCCCGACCGAUCGCCACCGUCCAACCACGCCUGGCCACCACACGGGUCGCGUCUAGCAGCUGGGACACCGCUCGUCCAGCCUGGGGUGGUGACCGGUCCUUACUUGCUGGCAUUAAGGCGCGGUGACGCCGCUGCUGCCGCGUGGUUGCUCUUGCCAGAACUCCCUUCUCCAGCCAUCAAUUCAAGGUAUCUUUGGGGGGUUUUGUAGCUCUUUGAUUAGUCUUUGAACCACCCAAAAGAGGUAGAACGAUUUGGAGUAUAGAGCAAAUCGGAGCUCUUGAGUUCUUGAGUUUAUAAUGAGUUUUCCGGCCAAAUCUUUGAGCUCUAGAGUUUGUGUUAGUCAUGAUUGUUGUUAUGCUUAAUGAGAGGAAGAGUUUGAUGUAUGCCUUGUUAAUUUUGGUUGAAGUUGAUCUAGUGGUGGUGGUUGACCGCCAUUGCCGGCGGUUGACCGCCACAGCCGGUGACUGCUGCCGGUUUUGGUGGUGGUUUUGAGUAAUUUUGGAUGAGUUCUAGAAGGGAUAAAUGUUGUUGUAUUGUAUGGUGAUUUUUGGUGAAGAGUGUUUGGAAUUUGGGAUAGUUUUGAUGGCUCCAUGGGUGAGAGAUGAGUGGUAUUGAAGUAUUGGAAAUUUUGGUGAGUGUUAGUAGGAAUUUAGGAAAGUUUAAGUCGAUUUUGGUGAAAGAGUAGAGGUGAGCCUCAUCCUUGGGAAUUUCCAUAUUUUUCAUUAUGUGUUAGAACGUUGAGGAGAAAUUGGAGAUGAUUAGUAAAAAUAAGGUUGGAGUUCUUCUUAGGUUUGGAUGAGUAUAGAGUAAGUGAGGAGGACUUUAUAUUUAUUAAAUUUGAUAUUCUUGUAUUUUUGUCUCGGACCUUAAAUCUCGUUUUGUACAGGACGAGAGGAGACACCACGUGAGGAGGGCUCUGACCGACGUCAGGCAUAGCCGUCUAUAUUGUGAGUGGACACUUUGUUUUUAAUGAAAUAUGCAUGCAUGAUUGGAGAUUUGAAAUAUGUGGGUUAUCUGGCUUAAUUAUUAUUUUGCGCAUUUUAACGUGUGGGACACGUUAUUAAAUUUAAUUUAUUUAUUUCUUAUGCUAUAUUUGUGGAUUAUAUGAUGUCAAUGCUACUAUGUCGUUCCACCUCUCGAGGUGAUGUGACUCUCACGUUUCAAGUGGGGUCACGUAAGCCCUUUCCACCCUAGUGGUGAUGUGAUGUUGCCGGCGGCAUCACGCAAGCCCUGUGCUCUAUCCAUCCACUCGACGUGAAGGUACAGGGAGUAUGGGAGUACUAUGCCUAGGAGGCAACCGAGUCUGGGAGACUCACUUAUAUGGCCAUAUAGGAUAUUCUAUUUGAGUUGUUAAUUUGACUAGCGGGGCUAGUCCAUUAUUUUGAAAGUUUCUUGAAUGAGAAAUCUAUUUAUUUUUUUUAUUGUUUUAUGACUAGCGGGGCUAGUGUGAAUUUUUGUUGAGUUUAUAAUAUUUUCAUGCAUGAAAAUUCUUGAAUUCUGUAAAAAUGGAAAAGCAUAUAAAAAUUUGAUUUAGUAUCUUUAUGCUCUUGGAUACUUAUUAAUUAGUUUAUUUUUCGUACACUCACGCUAACGUUUUUAAAUGCCUGGGCCCUUUGUUUUCAAAUGCCUUUCCCUGGGCCCUUUGUUUUCAAAUGCCCAGAUUGCAGAGCUCCUGUUCGGUUUCACUAGGAGUUGAGGCAUAGUUUUCCGCUGCACCUUGUUGACCGUAGGUUACCUGUUAACCUAUGUGUAGUAUUAUAUUUCUUUCUUGUAGUGCUCUGAUGACCAUCGGGAGAUGUAAAAUAAGUUGGAGUUAUUUUUAAGGGUUAUAACCCAAGUAGGGAGUUUAACUUUGGUUGGUGUUUGUGUUUAAAUAUCGUAGUUGAAUAUUGGGUUUGAAUUGGUUAAGUGCUGUUAUGACUUGGAUUUUGUUGUGGGGAGCGAAGGACUCCAGGAGAUGUGGUUGUUUGAUAUAGUUGAAGUGUUCUUGGUUCUUUUCUCGCAGGUUGGGUUGUCCAUUUUUAGGGGGGAUUAUGCCGAAAUUUCGGUAUAAUCUCUUUUAAGAGUGGAUCCCGCAAGACUUGCCUGUUUUUCUAUGUGUUUUCAGGGCGGGUCUUGUCAGCUGAUCUUAGCAGAUGACUGGCCAGUCCGAUGAUCAUCUGUGGAAGGUUCGUCGACAUCGGGCAGUGGUGGAGGGAGAGGAGGUGCCAAACUUGACGGAGGCGCCACAGGCCGCGAGGGGACCUCUGUGGGGCGUCAAUAUUGCUGGGCCACCUCCUGCAUCAGUCGUUGAGACGGUUCCGCCUAUCACUUCCACUUCCCACUAGUCGGCGGCAUAGUGGAUGGAUGUGGCGCAAGGGAGGAGACGGCUUGGAAUCGGAGGAGGAGACGGUGAUGUGGAGGAGGAGAUGGCUUGGAAAGUUGGAAUUUAGGGAUGUGGAGGAGGAGGAUACGAUCGAUUUAGGGAUUUCAGAGUUAAGACUCGUUGCCCGGCCUCUAUCUGGGUUUACAAACCAAACUCAGCCCACGAAUGAAGCUGUUUCAUCAGUUAAGUGAAACCAAAAAUUUGGCCCAAAAAAUUGGCAAAAUUUUUGACCCGCCAAAUAUUAAGUAGUUAGGUGACGAAUACAUGAACUUUCGUCAUCUCAGUGAACCAAAAAUAUUUCUACCAUUUUCAAAUUUUGGGACUUAAUUGACGAAAACCUAAAAAGAAAAGGUUUUCAUAUAAGUUUUGGAAAUAAUGAGGUAUCUCCUAAAAAGAAAUAGUUUUGAUACAAGGAUUUUUCUUUUUUUCCUAAAAAAUACAUUUGACAAUACAAUACAAAUGUAAUUAAAGAAAUUAUAAAUUAAAGAGUGAAAUAUAUAGAACAGAUGACGAUAGAGAUUGAAGAGUAGAUCGAUUGAAACAAGUCCAAACCCGGUUUGUUCUAGAUUUGGCAUUCGGUGUCCGAUUGACUAUUAUGAUACCUUUCUGGAAGCGGAAUGGCCCAACAAACCAAACUCGUCGAUAUGCCACGACGUAUGGGCUUUUUAGGCCAUCCGAGUCCGUUUAGGCUUUCAAAAUGCGGAUUUACUUAUUUUCAGGCAUUAUUUUUAAUAGUUUGUUUUCGAUUUGGUUUUCUUUUAAUCCAUGGGCUUUUAGGCUUUGAUGUUAGUUGCCCUACGGUUUAUUUGCUCCUAUAUAACUAGCAUUUAUCAGUUGUAGUCGUCAGCUUUCAUAUUAAUAAAAAAUCUUGAGUUUAUCUUAAUUCUCUGGUGGAUUCCAGAAUUCCUCUCGUGGAUUCGAGAGAACUAGACUUGUGAAUUCAAGUCACUGUUGGUGGAUUCUAACGUUUAUAUUUCCGCUACAUCAAAGAGAAAUUUAAAGUAUUACACACUCAAUUUCUGUCAUAUUAAAAAAUACCACUCAUUAAAAGAAAUUAACAUAAGUCAGACGUCAUUGACAUCAUAAUCCUCAUCCUCCGUAUCAUCGUCCUCUUCGUCUUCGUCUUCCUCUUCAUCCUCCUCAUAAUGCGGCUCUUCAUCUUCGUUCUCAUCUUCAUCCUCCUCAUUGUCAACAUGUGGGACUUGAGAUCCAUAAAUUGUAAUGAACGCAUUCCCAUGUACGUAGUGGGGGUCAUUGUUGAUGCGAAUAGUCUGUGUAUCUGGAAUAUAAUUGCUUAACUCUUCUUGAUAUGGUUCUGGCGCCUCUUCUUCAUCACAUGCUCCUUCUGCAUCCCCUUCAAGCGUAGAUGCACUCCAUAUGUUUCGGUGAGACAUCACAUUUACCACCUCGGUAAACUUGGGUCAGUGUUAAACCAUUUACACUUGAACAACACAACUAGCAUACCAGCUCCAUAUAAUAAUUCAACAACGGAGAGUAUGAUCCCGUAGUAGCAAAUUUCAUCCCCCUCUACCAUGAUCCCAUAGUUUUGAGUGACCCGCUCUUCAUCUCGGUAGAACGUCACAAACUUAACACCGUUAACAAAACACCCCCCAUGUACACUGUGAUGUUGCGGCUUACAUGCCAAAUUGUGUAACUCCUGUGAGUAAUCAGGGUUGCUCUCUCAUAGGAGUUCUUCCAUCUAAAAAAGAAAUAAUGAAUAACUCAUAAGUGAUGGGACUAUGUAAACAAUAUCGCCAAUAAAUAAUAAAAUGGAGAUUGAACUUACCCAAUUAAGAAAGUAAUCAGGAAAAGUUCUCUUGUGCAUCUCUUCAGCUCUAUAUGGUUGUCUUGCUAUGAUUUUUUCCAAAUGUUUCUUUUUGUAGUAGUCAAUCUCAGAGCAGUGGUCCAGCACGCACCAAUGAGCUUCACGGAGCUCAGCUUUUGUUAACUUGUUCGAAUUUGGUAAGUUACCAAAUGAACGUACAACUUUUGAAACAACUGAAAGAUUGAAGACAUUUGUGGAUGACUCUGCCUCGGUUGUGUUACUAUGACAUAAGUCGUAGUAAGUUACACACUCAUUUAAGAGGUAUGUGUUCGCUAUUGACCCUUCUAGUUUUCCUCUGUUGCCGACAUAUUUUUUGUACUCCCCAAGUUGUCUAAAAUUUAAGAUGUUAUUACUGUACAAACAAUAAAAUGUAAAUGUAAACUGGUGAUAAAAGUGUGCAAUGUACCUUUCUUAUGAGAACAUACAGGUAUAGUGUACUGGACCAGUACCAUCGCUUGUUCUGGUAGGUGGAUCAUGAGGUGAAUCAUGAUGUCGAAAAAAGAAGGCGGGAAAAUCCGCUCCAACUUGCACAUGAUGUAGACAAUGUCCUCUUUUAAUCUAAGAACAUUUGACUUCUCUAGCUCUCUAGCACAUAACUUCUGAAAGAAUUUAGACACCGCUACUAACGGCUCUACCACAUCAGGACACAAAUAUGGUCGAAUUACCACUGGAAAAAAAACGUUGUAGCAUGAUAUGACAGUCAUGAGUCUUUAAUCCAAAUAGCUUAUUCUCCCCCACUUUUACACAUCGAGAUAUAUUUCCUGCAUAACCAUGAGGAUACUUAAUAGCUUCAAACCAUUUGAAAACUUUCUUCUCAUUAGCCGGAUUAAUCCUGUAAUGUGCAAGAGGCAUUGACCCCGACGUUGUUAGCCACAAGUGAGGGCGUAUGUUCAUGAGUUGAAGAUCUUUGCGCGCCUUCACAAUGUCCUUAGUCUUAUCUUUAAACCCGAAAACUGUUCCCACAAUGCUGUUACAAACAUUCUUCUCUAUAUGCAUGACAUCAAGGCAGUGUCUUAUUCUCAAUUUCUUCCAGUAAGGCAAUUCAAAAAAUAUACUCUUGUGCGUCCAGUUCUCCAAUCUAGAAGGACGUUUUGGAUUCCGAGCUAACACGUCAGGAUCACUGCUAAGACGUCCGAAAUCAAAAGAGUUUAACAUGUCCAAAAUCCACUCACCAGACCGCUCUUAGAGUUUUAAAGCAAACUCUUGCUUCCCAUCGAAUGAAGCCACAUCAAAUCGCCAUGGAUGAUCUUCCGGAAGCCCUGUACGACUCCCCAAGUAACACACCUUUCCAGCAUGCCAACUAGCAUUUAGGUCUCCUAAGCAAAUUGGACAAGCCAUGUAACCUUUAGUGGUUUGAGACGACAACAUCUCAUAUCCAGGAAAAUCACUAAUGGUCCAAACCACUGUUGCUUUCAUCCUGAAUGAAGUUUGACUAUACCAGUCAAAAGUAGGGACUCUAUUUUCCCAUAAUUCUUUUAACUCGUCAAUCAAUGGUCUCAUGUACACAUCAAGACAUUAACAAAGUCAGCAUACUAAAUUCCUUCUUCAUACACAUCCAUGGAGGUAGGUUGUACACCACAACAAUAACAGGCCAAAUACUAUAAGACAAAUUCAUGUUUCAGGUAGGAUUAAACCCGUCCAAGUCUUACAUUUCGAAUGUCUUCUGCAAAAUCAGGAAAUGAUCUGUCAAAUGAUUUCCAAACCUCCCCAUCUGCGGAUUGUCUGAGAGUGUCAUCAUUUUUUCUCGUUACCCCGUGCCAUCUCAUCUUUUCUGAAGUGUGUGAAGACAUGUACAUACGCUUCAACCUAGGAAUCAAUGGGAAAUAAUGAAGCACCUUCUUUGGAAUCCUUUUCUUCUUAGAUGAAGAAGAUGAUGACUUCCACCUCAACGCUUUGCACACUGGACAGUAAUCUAGGUCUUUGUUGAUGACUCCAUAAAACAAAACGUAGUUAUUCUUGCAUGCGUCAUUCUCAUAACCGAGGCCAAGAUCUUUCAACAUACUCUGUACCUUAUCAAAGCUGUGGGGAAAGUUGUUUCCUGGAGGAAGCAAUUUCUUGAUGUUCACCAAGUUACGGUUAAAUGACACAUUCGACCAAUUGCUGUCAACUUUGGUUAUAAUCUGUUCAAUGAUGGCACCCAAGACAGUUACAUUACACCCAGGGUACAAUGGGGUCUGUGCUUUAUCAAGCAGCCUAUUAUACUUAUCGUAAUCAUCAUUGUCAACAUUUGAAAAAGCAUAGUCUGCAUCAGUGGUCUCGUAAACAACCUCUUCCUCAUGUCUUGCAGCAAAUGAAGAAAAAGCAUCAUGUAUAAUGUCCAUAGAAGGAUCCACAUAAGGGUCGAAACUACUGCUGGAUGAGCCAGCAUGCUAAAAGUGUCCCGCUCGGAUUUCUUCCAAGGUAGGUUCAUUAUCUAAUGUUUCACCAUGUAGACUCCAUGUAAUACGUCUUGUAUUCAGGUGUUCGUGGAUUUCAUAAAUCGUCUUCCACUUAGUAUUAUGACAUUCAACACACGGACACCUGUGUAGAGUUCUGCCAUCAGCAUGUUUAAGUACAAAUAACAAAAAAUCUAGAAUUCUUUGUUGGUAUUCAGGGUUCCCCCAGUCGUACUGCAUCCAUCUCUUGUCCAUGUCCUGUCAUAUAUAUAAACAACAAAUAAGCAAUAGUAGUUCAAAAAACACAACAACAAAAACAUGUAUUUGAUUGCUAAGUUAUGUUUCUAAGUUAUAAACAUAACAAAAUUAUGUUCUCCUAAAAUGAUUCUUGAAUUGUCCCAUUCAGGAGAACACGAUUUUGUUUCUAAGUUUAUAAUUCUUGUCUUUUCGAUUUCGAUGUGGGAAAAUUUCGGUAGCAUCUUCCUAUAGUCCCUCUAGUGUAUAAAUAACUAUACCUAGUAUGCACUCGAGGAACAGUAACGAGAGACAGUGUCGAAACAUAUACCCACAACCGAAAACGAAAAGACAAGAACAACAAACUACAUAACAAAAUUAUGUUCUCCUAAACUGUCCAAAAAUGGGACAAUUCAAGAAUCAUUUUGUCAAACACAGUUGUGACAAGAUUGUGACAAGAUGAUUCUCAAACGGGAUUUCUAAAGUUCAAAUUUAGGUGAAUGAAAGAAUAUAAUCUUAUAUUCUUAUAUUUGAUUAUCACAAAAUAAACACAACAUAUAUAAUCAUUUGAAUGCACAAAAAAUUUUCACAAAACCAAACAAUUAAGUAUAUUUACAUAUAUCCCUAACAUAAUUAAAUAAUUUUCUCAAAACCUAAUAAUAGUAAAGCAUAUAUAUAAUCAACAAAUUAAACUAAUUAACUCUAAUAUUCACAAAUUAAAAUAACUAACUUUAAAAAUCAACAAUUAAGAAUCAACAUAUAUAUAUAUAUAUAUAUAUAUAUAUAUAUAUAUCAAUCCACAUUAAUCAUCACCCAACAAUAUUAACAACACGCUUGUGACCGGAAUCUUCGCCAGAAAACUCAUUGGAAAACAUGAAAAAAUAUGGUGGAGAAAGAGAGAGAAAGAGAUUAUACCAAACUAUAAAUCAAUGCAUAGGUAGACAAGCAAAGGUUUCAGAGACUGGCCUGAAUUUGAAAGGCUUCACACCGGGUAUUGAAAAUCGAAGCAAAUUUUGAGAGAGAGAAUUGAGUGUUUUGAAAUGAGAGAUGCAGAUCUAGAAACGCAGUAGGGUGUUAUAAAAGCAAGUUCAGUAAGGUGACGAAAUAAAUACUUUCAUCACCAGAGUAACCUGUUACAUGACGAAACAUAUUUUCGUCACCUAAGAGAGAACACUUUAGUGACGAAAAAAUGUUUCGUCACCUACCCCAUCACUUACAUGACGAAUUAAAUUUUCGUCACCUAAGUGCUACAAACUUUGGUGACGAAAAUUUAAUUCAUCACGUACACCAUCACUUAAAUGAUGAAACAUAUUUUCGUCACCUAAGUGCUAAAAGCUUUGGUGACGAAAAUAUUUUUCGUCACCUAUCUUGUCACUUACAUGACGAAAUAUAUUUUCGUCACCUAAGAGAGAAACCCUUUUGUGUCGAAAAUAUUUUUCGUCACCUUCCCUAUAACUUACAUGACAAAAGUUAUUUUCGUCACCUAAGUGAGAUCUAAGGUGACAAAAUGAGUGACGAAAUAACCUUACCUGACUUAGAUGACGAAAACUUGUACUGAGGUGACGAAACGGGUUUCAUCACUAAAGUGUUCUCUUAGGUGAUGAAUUAUAAAUAUUUCGUCACCUUAGAACCUUUUUCUGGUAGUAUAUACUUCAAUCAGCGUUGGCGAGAUUCAAAUUUAGAUAUGAUAGUUUCACACAUAGGCUCUUAACAACUCGACUACCUAUGGUAGUUACUGUUUACUUAUUCAUAAUUGUGAUGAUUACUAAAGAUAUAAGUGUCAAAUAAUUGAAAUAUAUAAAAACAAUAACAUUUAUAUUUAUACUAUAUACUAAAACUCAGUUCCCUUAGGAACAAGAACGUACCAUUUGUCAUUCUUUCCGUUUUUAUUACAACCCUGCCACUCGCUUUAAUAUAUGUAAUUUACAUUUUUGUCCAUAUUUUUCAUUUUUUUAAAACUUUAUCAUUUAGGGAUCAAAAUUACCUUUUUAUCUAUCUUUUUGGUUUUUACAUUUGAUCUUUUUUCAUGUUUUGGCCCCAAACAAAGCUUGGGUACACCGCCUAGUUGAAGCUAAUGAAGCUUUUACGACUCUAUAUGAGUAGGAGAUCGAUAAACAUAUACUAGAGAGAAAUUAAGAACUCUUUAUCAAACGAACUACAAUCACACAAUGAAGGAAAUAUAUCUCCAGUCAAGUGAGCUAUCAACAUCUAACAAAAUGAAAUAUACACUACUACACAUGCUAUAUAAGUAUACAAGAGACUUGGAGAAUGACAUCAGAAAUCAUUCGACAUUGAUAAGUUUUUCUGGGCGAAAUAGGCUUGGUAUGAGCUAAGGCUAGUUAAGUAUACAGGUUUGAAUAUUUCGAUCUCUUCGAAAUGGAAAAUGUCCAAACUCCAAAGUCUAAAGCAACAAAGAGAAUGAGGCCGGGCACUGGCGUUUAGUUGUGUGUGUGUGUGUUUAUUUAUUUAUUUUCCUUUUUUUUUGAAACAAACCUCGCAAAUGCGAGCUAGAAGAUUUAUUAAGAAUAAAUAAAAUUACAUGCACAAGAACAGGACAAAUCCUGCUCCAUCACGAAAUAAAGUUCUUAAAUUAUCGAAAACGGAAAUUGGGAAGACCCAGUUUAUCUCUAAUGCAAAAUUGACUAUUAAAAGUUGGAGAUGAAUCAAACCAAGUAAAACCUGUACUUGAAGCACCAAAAUUGUCCAAAGCAUCAGCCACCUGGUUUCCUUCUCGAAAAAUAUAGGAACAACAGAAUUGCAUCAUUGAAAUCCGAUGCACACAAUUCUUCGAUGAGGGCACUAGCGUUAGAUCGUGCCUAUCUUUUUAACAAAAUUAAAAUACUUAUCACUGCUGCACAAACUAAACUUGGGACCAAAGAAAAUGACAAUUAUGGGAAGAUCAUGGGGGGGGGGGGGGCAGCUCUUCAUAUGGAUUGCCCACCCACUUCCAGUUCUCGUUAUUCCGUCACCUUUUUAUUCCCUGAACCAACAAAAAGAAUAAUGGAACCAAAAUAAAAGGCAGCCAAUUCCUCUAUGGGUAUUGGUCGGUUUCCACCCCCAUAAAAACCUUUAAAAAAUUGUCAGCAAAGUUAAAAGUUUGAAGCACCUCCACUACCAAACCCUAUUAUAUAUACACCCUCCUCAAGCUUUCUGAUUCUGCAUGAACCCCAAACCCCAAAAACCCCUAGUCUUCACCUUGUCCAACUUGCUCAAAUAGUACAACUCAAACUGGCAUUCUUCACUUCCCACUAGUUCCUACUUCCCAAAACGUAGGGUGACAGUGACAAACCAGCCAGCCUUGUUGAGUUUCAGUGAAGUAAACUCUUUCUUUGUUAGAUAUAGCACUCAAAACUCUUUGUUCCCAACAUUGACCAGAACUUAGUGAACCCUUCACCAUGAAGAAGCUUUCCAAAUUGUCACUAGUGUGCGUUAUAUUCUUUGGCUUUUUGCUUCUGUCAACCCAAGCCAGAUGGCAUAACCAUACCAAACACAGCAAACACAACCACCCUCACAAGAUUUCUUACAUUUCACAGCCUCCUUCCUCUUCACCUGGACCUGCUGCUAGCUACAGUCCUCCUCCUGAAGAGCCUAAGAAUCCAUACAACUCCACACCUGGUGUUUUCGAUGUUCGAUUAUAUGGGGCUGUGGGGGAUGGCCAAACAGAUGACACUCAAGCCUUUAAAAUGGCUUGGGACACAGCCUGCCAAAGUGAAUCACCAGCAAAGAUACUUGUUCCGAACCAUUUCACAUUCAUGAUUCAGUCCACAAUAUUUACGGGUCCCUGCCUUUCAGGCCUGGUGUUACAGGUAAUGUACUAAUUCUCUAUCACUUUUUGGCUAACUCAAUGUAAGAAAAAGACUAAAGUCCUUUGGAUACAUUUGGUAAUGUGAAUUAGGUCGAUGGGGUUAUAGUACCACCUGAUGGACCAGAGUCCUGGCCAAAAAACAACAGCAGGCGCCAAUGGCUCGUUUUUUAUCGAAUCAACAAGAUGUCGCUGCAAGGGAGUGGUGUUAUAGAUGGGAGAGGAGACAAAUGGUGGCAACUUCCCUGCAAGCCCCACAUGGUAUUUUGUUUAAGUUGUUCAUAUUUGGUCUUAAACAUUUAGUGAUCUAGGAAACUGCUUACAUUGAUCAAUUUUUCACAGGGAAUAAAUGGAACCACCUUGCCUGGACCAUGUGAUAGCCCAGUUGUAAGUUUCAAAUUUUUUGUUUUAAGUAACAUCAGCUAACUAUAUUAUUGAGCUUUGAUUUAAUAUGAUGAUUUAUUUAUGCAGGCCAUUAGAUUUUUCAUGAGCUCUAACUUGACAGUACAAGGUCUUAGGAUUAAGAAUAGCCCCCAAUUCCACUUCAGAUUUGAUGGUUGCAUAAAUGUGAAUGUAGACUCCAUUUCUAUAUCAGCUCCUGCUCGAAGUCCGAAUACAGAUGGGAUUCACAUAGAGAACACCAAUGAUGUAAAAAUUUAUAAUUCUGUAAUUUCUAAUGGUACGAGCACUGUACUGAACCUUCAAAUCUACUACUUGUCAGCGAAUUGGCUCUCAUGCAUGAUGUUACUAAUAUCACUUCUGUUCUUUAGGUGAUGAUUGUGUAUCAAUUGGAUCAGGCUGUUAUGAUGUAGACAUUAGAAACAUCACUUGUGGCCCUGGUCAUGGAAUCAGGUAAUUCGCUAUUGUUUUGGUUUACUAAUCAGUAUCACAUGAUCUAAUUAAUUUACAAAUUUGUGAUUUUUUAUUUCGACUGACCUUUGUGUUCCUCACCCUUGUGCUUAGCAUUGGGAGUCUCGGAAACCACAACUCGCGAGCCUGUGUUAAAAAUAUUACAGUUCGAGACUCUAUUAUUAGAGUUUCGGAUAAUGGAGUUAGGAUCAAGACAUGGCAGGGUGGAUCCGGAGCAGUGUCCGGAGUAACUUUCAGUAACAUUCACAUGGACAAUGUUAGGAACCCCAUUAUGAUUGAUCAAUUUUACUGCCUUACUAAGCAGUGCAGCAAUCAAACCGCAGCGGUAUAUGUAUCGAACAUCCUAUACUCGGGCAUAAAAGGAACCUAUGAUGUCCGGAAUGCUCCAAUGCAUUUUGGCUGCAGUGAUUCUAUGCCAUGCACCAACUUAACACUCUCAGAUGUUGAGCUUCUUCCAGCUGUAGGAGAUAUGAUGUCAGACCCUUAUUGUUGGAAUGCUUACGGACAACUGCAAACGCUUACUAUUCCACCAGUCUCUUGCUUGUUGGAGGGUGCUCCUAGAACUUUACUGAGCGAUGAAAUAGACCGCUGCUGAUACAUCAGUCCAUGGAUUCAUCUUAGGUCUGUAAAGCAAUUAGAAAUCCAUAACUACAAGAGGAAUUAGGAAUCUUUCUGGAUUGUAAUUCUAAUUUUAAUUGUGUGAUUAUAGAGGAGAGAUAUUUAUGCGCUCCCUAUCUUAUCAUAUAUAUACAAUCUAUGUUUUUCUUCAAGUUCUUGUCCUGGAGAUGAAUUUUUAUAGCUUGUAUUUAGAAAAAGUAUUCUAGCUCUGCUGCUGUAACUCAUGUUUGAUUUGUAGGGAAUGUUGGAUAACCAUUUUACUUGGGAAAAUUGAAUAAGCUGCAGUAAGACGACAAUGUAUAAUUGUAUAUCAACCUAUCAAUAUGGGAUGCACUCUCAGAUAUGUGAAACCAGAUAGAGAAACUGAGAAACUUGCUGGUGUAGGGUUUAGGGUUUAGGGCCCUAAACCUGGUGUAGCCCCACACUAAACCUUGGAAAUUAACCAACAAAGAAUUGGAUGAUGCGAAUUUGAGGCUUCGAGAUUUCAUAUAUAUACCAUCUUAGACAAGCAUGCACUGCAUGUAUAAUCAAACUAUAUAACGACCUUUUCAAAUAAAAGUAAACUGUUAUCUAGCCAUGGAUGCCAUUCACAGAGACUACGGUAAACUUUAGUUUUCUUUCCUUGCAUUCAGCGCACCUUAAAUUAAGCAUUCGAAAAUGCGCAUAUAAUCGGUUAGCAAUUGAGACACCAUGCAGAGCAGGCAUCCACAUAUAGCAGUAGUUUUUUAGGUUCAUGUUGUCAGAUAAAUAAAAGCUUACAUGUACCAGUCUCAUGUUUGUCAAGUUGAUGCAUGGGGCAGCUAGAAUUUUUAAGGUUAACUUGGCUCUCUAACAGCAAAAUCACACUACUUUUAAUAAGGGAUAGUAACUAAUCUUCAUUUGCAGUAGUAGUAAUUAUUAAAUGUGUAAAAGUUCCCAUUUCUAGUUCUAGUAAGCUUGCACUAAAUUAUUAGAUUAAAGCUUUUGUGACAUAGCUAGUCAGACUCAGAGAAUAAUUAAGAAUAUAAAUUUGGCAAAUGAUGACAGAUUUACAAUACCAUUGUCUUCUUAACCUAGAUUAGAAAUUGUAGAACAUUCCAAAUUUCCAUUAACAAUUAGGAGAGAGAGAGAGAGAGAGAGAGAGAGAGAGAGAUUGUUCAAAAUUAAGAAACUGAAUAGCUUAAAAGCCGGUUGAAAGAUGAUGAUUAGAGAAUAAUAGUAUUGUAUGAGAGUGAGUGAAGUUAAGAGGAUUUGUCGACUAGAACAGUCAGAAGAGCACUGAGUUUGAUAUUGGUUUUUUGGUGUUGGAGUGGAGAGGAAGGAGGGACAUUCUCUAUGGCUUUCUUGCACGCGCAGUCUCCGAUAUGAGAAGUAGAGUAGUCUGAUAAAGAAAAAGUUUAGGUCGGUGCACGGGCUAGAGUCCAAUGCUCACCCACCAAAUUUGCCUUUUCCAUCAAUCUAAGCUCUCUACUUCCUCCACAAAAUAUAUUAGGUAUUUCAACCCCUCACCGGCUUGAACAUCGAUCUAGCUAGCUAGCACCCUUUUUUUUUUCAUCGACUGAUGGGGCUUGCUUGUAAGAAAAUGCUCAGAACAAAUACGAGUUCCUGAAGCUGCGAUUGAUUCUAUAAGAAAAUGCUCACACGUACAUAACUGUUAGGUCCCCUACCAUUUCUACAUUUCAGAAUCUAAGCUCGCUUUAUCACCUUUCGGCACAUGCAAUUCUCUCCUUGGUCUCUUAUGAACCAUAACCACUGUUUCUCUUCAAUUCCAUUCCAAUGAUAUCGGUUUAACAUAUGUAAUGCCUUAAGAUGUGUUUGUGGAUCUCUUCCCUAAAGUUUUAGCUUUUAAAGGUGGAAUGGUUAUCACAUAUCUAACUUGUUGGUAUAAGAUUUACUUAUAAAUAUGUAUGCGGAAUUAUAAGUAUGGAGAGAGGAUGAGAAGCGGACGUCGGCACUCGGCUUAAAGUGCGGACGUCGAGUGCGGACGUCCGUCCGUUCUCCACCCUCCGGCGCCGGCGACGGCGCGCCUCCACCCCAUAACACUCCAGCAGCGUCCCCGACCACUUUCCCUCCCCGGCGAGUCUGUUUUUUUCCAGUUUCCGGCGAGAUCGAAUUUGUUUGAAGUUUUGGGUGAUCUCGCCGAAAAACUGGAAAAGAACGGACUCGCCGGGGAGAGAAAGUGGUCAGGGACGCUGCUGGAGUGUUCUGGGGUGGAGGCGCGCCGUCGCUAUCGCCGGUGCCGGAGGGUGGAGAACGGACGGACAUCCGCACUUUAAGGCCGGUGCGGACGUUCGCUCCACAUCCGGCCUGUAUAAGUACAUAUUCAAGACAAGAACACAUAUACGAUGUAUAUACAAGAGUGAAAUGCUAACCUGAAUAAGACAUAUCUGAUCUUCUCCUCUGAACAAUCGACUAAAGGCAAUCUCCACUUAUGGGGCUGAGAACUUGAAUGCUUGGGGUGAUUGUUAGAGCAGGGAUCAAGGUCAAUAUAUAGACAUUGAGGAUUAGGUGCCUCCCAUAAAGGUUUCCUAAUCCUUCUACAUUAAGGCCAACCUUUUUCCUGUUCCAUAUGCAAAUAGGUAUACUUCAUUACCUAAUAAGUAAACCUUACAAAUCAGUACUGAUACUAACAGGAAAUUAAUCAUGAGUCUGAUGAAGGCAAGAAAUGUCUUACUUAUUGCUUAUUUUGUAAUUAUGUAGCUUAGUUAUUGAUACUUAGUGAAUCAUUGAUAUUUGAUAGUCCACAUUAAGUCUUACAGUUGGUACUAGAGUGGGUUUGAUUCCGAUCGAGACUUUCGGUUCUCCUUUCUCAGUUAUUGGUUAAGUGAGUUUGAAUAAGGAAGUUGGUGUAUGUUUACAUUGUAUGCAUGGUCGUUGUACUAAUAAUACUAGCUAGCUCGUCGCACUCUUGCAGUAAUCUGAGAUCCUCUCAAAGUUCCUCCAUUAGAAAUAUUGAUGGGAAUUUUGGAAGGUCUGAACUUUGAAGUAACCCGCUCCUCAACAGGGGCGGAACCAUGUUACGGUUCGAAGGGGUUCGGACCCCCCCUGAUGUUUUGGCAGAUGAUCGAUUCUCAUGUGAAAUUAUUGAUAUUUAAUUCAUUUGAUCAACUAUAUAUAAGUAACUAAUUAACCGGCGUUGGUUCUUAAUCAAAAACUAACCAUUAGUUGGUUAGAUUAAUAGAAGGAAAUAUAUAAUCACUAUAGUUAGGCCGUGGUAAUUAAUGGUUUUUGCUUCUUUUUUUUUCUUUACAAAUAUGAUUUUAGCUUGGAAUGAAAGAAAAUUUUACGUUAAUUUUGUACGAGAAAUUUUAUUCACACACCUCAAAAUACUAGAUACACAUAUCUUUUAUCACAUAAUUUAUACAAGAUUUUGUGGUUACGUAAAAUUACUAAAAGAGACAUUCAUAUUGGGGAAAAUGUCUAUUUAAUACUAAUUGUAACCCUUCAUUGCCCAUUUCAAUGACAAUCUUUUCUAUGAGCCCAUUUGAAUAAAAGUAAACUUUUUUUAUGCCCAAAUGGCCAAAUCUUUACUAAGGUCUCCACAAACUAUAUUAUUUUAAGACUAUUUUGCUCCUACCUCUUCAACAUGAAAAGACUUGGCCAGAACCUCGGACUCCGGUCACCGGCAGCUAGACUCCGAUCACCGGCCGUUGGACUCCGGUGACCGGCCGCCGGACUCCGGUGACCGGAAUUUUCCCGACCUCCGGACUCCACUCACCGGAAUUUCCCCGACAGCCGGACUCUGGUCACCGGAAUUUCCCCAGUAACCCUAGUUACUGACCAGUUACUGACACCUAGUAACCAGUUACUGACCCCCAGUAACCAGUUCUUGAAACCUAGUAACCAUUUACUAAAAUGCCCAAAUGCCCAAAAACGGCUAAAACAAUGCCCAAUCUAAUGAAAAAAAAAUUUCAUUGCCCAUAUCAAUGAUUCUUAACAAAAAGACAUUUUCACCCUUUUUAGUAAUAACACCACCUCGUUUUUUUACAUAUCAAAAUUCAACUCUCUCUUCUCUUUCUCUUUCUCUUUCUCUUUCUCCUCUCUCCUCUCUCUCUCCUCUCUCAGAUGUGAUCUGAAUCCACUUGNNNNNNNNNNNNNNNNNNNNAACACACACACACACACACACACACACACUCUCUCUCUCUCUCUCUCUCUCUCUCUCUCUCUCUCCUUCCAACGCCGUCGUCUCUCCUCCACGCUCCGAUGCCUCAUCUCCGGCGUCGACGGCGGUGGCGUCUCCGACGAGUUCGUCUCCACUCGGAAGUCCAACCUUGACCGCUGAUUCUCCGUCAUCGCCAACAUGCUCAAGUGGAUUGAGCCGCUUGACAGCUCCGUCAUCUCCAAAGGCGUAUCGGAUUCCGCUAAGGACUCGAUGAAGCAGACCAUCUCUACUAUGCUGGGGCUGCUUCUGUCCGAUCAGUUCUCCGUCACCGUUAAGGUUUCUAGAGCUUCGUUCGAUCGCCUCAUUGCCUCUUCCAUUAUCACCGGGUAUUGAUUGUGAUAGAUGAGCAAAUUGGUUUAGUCUAUUUUUGGGUUAUAACUUGCUGAAGUAGAGAAUUUUGUAUUGGAACUAUGUUUGUAUGUGUUUUGAAUGAUUAUUGGGGGUCAUUAAAAGUCAUUGGGAGUUGGUAAUUUUUUUUAAGGUUUCUUUUUUGUUAGAAUCACCUUCUACUUAUUCUUCUUCUACUAUCUUCUUCGUUCUUCUGUGUUUUUAUUGAUUAUUGGGGAUAGUAACCCGAUUAUUAGGGGUUAGUAAUUUGAUUAUUAAGGUUAAUAACUUGAUUAUUUUCUAGUAUUUUUUCUGUUCUAUUACAUUAAGAUGAAAUAAGUAGAUUAUUGUGGGUCAGUAACUAAUUAUUGAGGAUUAGUAACUCAGUUACUGGGGGUCAGUAACUGGUUACUGGGUGUCAGUAUCUGGCCAGUAACUGGUCAGUAACUAGUUACUGGAUGUCAGUAACUGGUCAGUAACUAGUUAUUGGGGGCCAGUAACUAGUUACAGGGAAAAUUUCGGCGACCGGAGUCCGGCGGUUGAGAAAAUUCCGGUGACCGGAGUCCGGCGGCCGGUGACCAGAGUCCGGUGAGAUUCCGGCCAAGUAUUCUCUCUUUCAUUUUCUCUCUCUAUACAUGUUUAAGGGGUGAGGGUAAAAUAGUCUUAAAAUAAUAUAGUUUGUUAAGACUUUAGUAAAGAUUUGUGCAUUUGGUCAUAAAGAUUUGUGUAUUUGGGCAUAAAAAAGAUUACCUUAUAUUGAAAUGGGCUAAUGAAAAAGAUUGUUAUUGGAAUGGGAAAUAAGAGGUUUAAAUUAGUACUAAAUAUGCAUUUUCCCUAAAAGUAAAGAAACGUAGUUAAAAUUGAAUAUCCCGCUUACGGGUUUUCUUCUCUCUACGAUGGUAUUAUAAUUCUUUUCUGGUAAGGAAGAACUAGAGAUCCAGUUCAUAGAGAUGCUAGAAAUUCAGUGCUUGUGACACAGUACGGAAACUCAAUGCUUGUGACCUCUACGAGAUUGCUAUUCUAAAUUUUCACAAGCAUCAAAGACACAUUGGCCUAUAGCAAGUUUUUUCGAGAAGUACAACCUGGAAGGAGGAGAUGUAGUACAAUAUAUCUACCACGAAGAAGCUGAGUUUUCAAAGAAGAUUCAUAAAGCAAAUGGAAU
rnacentral:lncRNA from 1 species